CGGAGGGAUCAUUACCGAGUUUACAACUCCCAAACCCCUGUGAACAUACCUAUUUGUUGCCUCGGCGGUGCCUGUUCCGACAGCCCGCCAGAGGACCCCAAACCCUGAUUACAUUUAAGAAGUCUUCUGAGUAAACCGAUUAAAUAAAUCAAAACUUUCAACAACGGAUCUCUUGGUUCUGGCAUCGAUGAAGAACGCAGCGAAAUGCGAUAAGUAAUGUGAAUUGCAGAAUUCAGUGAAUCAUCGAAUCUUUGAACGCACAUUGCGCCCGCUAGUAUUCUGGCGGGCAUGCCUGUCCGAGCGUCAUUUCAACCCUCAAGCCCCCGGGCUUGGUGUUGGGGAUCGGCGAGCCUCCGCGCCCGCCGUCCCCUAAAUCUAGUGGCGGUCUCGCUGUAGCUUCCUCUGCGUAGUAGCACACCUCGCACUGGGAAACAGCGCGGCCACGCCGUUAAACCCCCAACUUCUGAACGUUUGACCUCGGAUCAGGUAGGAAUACCCGCUGAACUUAAGCAUAUCAAUAAGCGGAGGAAAAGAAACCAACAGGGAUUGCCCUAGUAACGGCGAGUGAAGCGGCAACAGCUCAAAUUUGAAAUCUGGCCUUCGGGUCCGAGUUGUAAUUUGUAGAGGAUGCUUUUGGUGAGGUGCCUUCCGAGUUCCCUGGAACGGGACGCCAUAGAGGGUGAGAGCCCCGUCUGGUUGGACACCGAUCCUCUGUAAAGCUCCUUCGACGAGUCGAGUAGUUUGGGAAUGCUGCUCUAAAUGAGAGGUAUAUGUCUUCUAAAGCUAAAUAUUGGCCAGAGACCGAUAGCGCACAAGUAGAGUGAUCGAAAGAUGAAAAGCACUUUGAAAAGAGAGUUAAAAAGUACGUGAAAUUGUUGAAA
rnacentral:rRNA from 1 species